GCUGGGUCAUAGUUCAGUGGUAGAGUGCGUGCCUAGAGUGUGUGAGGCCUUGGGUUCCAUCCCCAACACUGCA
rnacentral:tRNA from 1 species